CCGCCGCCGUAACACACGCAAGUCGAACGAGAUCUUCGGAUCUAGUGGCAGACGGGUGAGGAACACGUGGGAACAUCCCUUUCAGUUCGGAAUAACGUUGGGAAACUAACGCUAAUACCGGAUACGUCCUUCGGGAGAAAGAUUUAUCGCUGAAAGAUUGGCCCGCGUCUGAUUAGCUAGUUGGUGAGGUAAUGGCUCACCAAGGCUACGAUCAGUAGCUGAUCUGAGAGGAUGAUCAGCCACAUUGGGACUGAGACACGGCCCAAACUCCUACGGGAGGCAGCAGUGGGGAAUAUUGGACAAUGGGCGCAAGCCUGAUCCAGCCAUGCCGCGUGAGUGAUGACGGCCUUCGGGUUGUAAAGCUCUUUUGUCCGGGAAGAUAAUGACUGUACCGGAAGAAUAAGCCCCGGCAAACUUCGUGCCAGCAGCCGC
rnacentral:rRNA from 1 species